CAGCUCUCAGGGUCGCACCUGGAGAGUUUCCAAUAUUCUACCAGUCUCAACUACCGGAGGGAGAGUCAAGCAGAGACAUAUCCAUUCCAUUCCUUGGUUGGGCAGAAGCUAGCAAGUGGAAGACAAUCUGCUACAAGU
rnacentral:snoRNA from 1 species